rnacentral:lncRNA from 1 species
UACAAUUGCUUUUGAAUUCGGCUGAGGGUCAUUAUUAAUUUCAUCGUUGUUUUAACUGUUGAGCUCGUUCAUUGGGACAUGCAUAUGUCUGGGGUAUGAUGAUUGGCUGUUACUAAUUACAGCGUUGUUCGCCUUGUCGAAUCCUUUCUUUGGAGCGUUUUUACUUCCGUUUCUAAUUUCAACGCUGUUUUUGUUGAGCCCGUUCAUUGGAGGGCGUGUUUGCUCAGGCGGCUGAUUGGAUGUUUAUCAUUUCAACUAGUUUCUUCUUGAGGAGCGAAUUUGCUACAGAUACAAUCAAGUUUGCGUCCUCGUGAAAUUCAUAUACAUUUUUUAAACGACGCACCUUUCUGCAUCACGGUCAAGUCAUCUGUUUAACGCAGAGAACCUCGGUUAUGUAACUGACUGGCAGCUCUGAUUGAGCAUCCCCACCAGUACUUUGUGCGUGGUUGGCCCUUUCGAUGCGCCAGUUGGUGAAGUCCUGGUCCAACACCGGGCCGAAUGACAAGACACGACCCACUCAUUACAGCUACGCUGUAAAGUGGAGUAAGACCACGGCGGCUGGGGCCGAGGCAGAGACGCUCCUUAAGCAUAGGGCCUUGUAUAAGGCCUUGGUCGAGAGGAAAGGAACUCGAGUUCUUCUGGGGCUCGAGGAGGGCACCUGGGCCAGGAUUCAGCCAAAGGAGCUUGACCACCAUCUGCAAGACUUGAACUGGCAUUUACACAGAAGAUCGAUCCGCGGAUGGUUUUGA